rnacentral:tRNA from 1 species
GCAGUGGUGGUUCAGUGGUAGAAUUCUCAUCUUCAAUACCAGAGAUCUGGGUUCAGUUCCCAGCCGAUGCA